AAGUUGAUGCAGCGACGCCGCGUGAGGGAUGACGGCCUUCGGGUUGUAAACCUCUUUCAGCAGGGAAGAAGCCACAAGUGACGGUACCUGCAGAAGAAGCGCCGGCUAACUACGUGCCAGCAGCCGCGGUAAUACGUAGGGCGCAAGCGUUGUCCGGAAUUAUUGGGCGUAAAGAGCUCGUAGGCGGUUUGUCGCGUCUGCUGUGAAAGCCCGGGGCUUAACCCCGGGUGUGCAGUGGGUACGGGCAGACUAGAGUGCAGUAGGGGAGACUGGAAUUCCUGGUGUAGCGGUGGAAUGCGCAGAUAUCAGGAGGAACACCGAUGGCGAAGGCAGGUCUCUGGGCUGUUACUGACGCUGAGGAGCGAAAGCAUGGGGAGCGAACAGGAUUAGAUACCCUGGUAGUCCAUGCCGUAAACGUUGGGCACUAGGUGUGGGGGACAUUCCACGUUUUCCGCGCCGUAGCUAACGCAUUAAGUGCCCCGCCUGGGGAGUACGGCCGCAAGGCUAAAACUCAAAGGAAUUGACGGGGGCCCGCACAAGCGGCGGAGCAUGCGGAUUAAUUCGAUGCAACGCGAAGAACCUUACCAAGGCUUGACAUAUACCGGAUCGUCCAGAGA
rnacentral:rRNA from 1 species